UACGUAGGUGGCAAGCGUUGUCCGGAUUUACUGGGCGUAAAGAGCGCGCAGGCGGUUGAUUAAGUCGAAUGUGAAAGCCCCCGGCUCAACUGGGGAGGGUCAUUCGAUACUGAUCGACUUGAAGGCAGGAGAGGGAAGUGGAAUUCCGGGUGUAGUGGUGAAAUGCGUAGAUAUCGGGAGGAACACCAGUGGCGAAGGCGACUUCCUGGCCUGUUCUUGACGCUGAGGCGCGAAAGCUAGGGUAGCAAACGGG
rnacentral:rRNA from 1 species